UUUUUAAAUUGAGAGUUUGAUCCUGGCUCAGGAUGAACGCUGGUGGCGUGCCUAAUACAUGCAAGUCGUACGCUAGCCGCUGAAUUGAUCCUUCGGGUGAAGUGAGGCAAUGACUAGAGUGGCGAACUGGUGAGUAACACGUAAGAAAC
rnacentral:rRNA from 1 species